AAAUAAGAAGCAAAAUUGCAUUUAGUUUCGACCUAAAAGAUUUGAUUAUUUUUAAUCCUUAUUUU
rnacentral:tRNA from 1 species